UACAGAGGGGGCAAGCGUUGUUCGGAAUUACUGGGCGUAAAGGGCGCGUAGGCGGCCUUCUAAGUCGGACGUGAAAGCCCCAGGCUUAACCUGGGAACUGCGUCCGAUACUGGGAGGCUUGAGUAUGGGAGAGGGAUGUAGAAUUCCAGGUGUAGCGGUGAAAUGCGUAGAUAUCUGGAGGAAUACCGGUGGCGAAGGCGGCAUCCUGGACCAUAACUGACGCUGAGGCGCGAAAGCUAGGGGAGCAAACGGG
rnacentral:rRNA from 1 species